rnacentral:rRNA from 1 species
UACGUAGGUGGCAAGCGUUGUCCGGAUUUACUGGGCGUAAAGAGCGCGCAGGCGGUCAGAUAAGUCGAAUGUGAAAGCCCCCCGGCUCAACUGGGGGAGGUCAUUCGAUACUGUUCGACUCGAAGGCAGGAGAGGGAAGUGGAAUUCCCGGUGUAGUGGUGAAAUGCGUAGAUAUCGGGAGGAACACCAGUGGCGAAGGCGACUUCCUGGCCUGUUCUUGACGCUGAGGCGCGAAAGCUAGGGGAGCAAACGGGG